UCUUCCCCAAUGCACGAAAGUGUGACGGGGCAAUGCCGCGUGUGGGAUGAAGCCCUUAGGGGUGUAAACCACUGUCAGGGACUACCAACAACAUGAGGAGUCCCAAAGGAAGAGCCGGCUAACUCUGUGCCAGCAGCCGCGGUAAUACAGAGGGCUCGAGCGUUAAUCGGAAUCACUGGGCUUAAAGCGUGCGUAGGCGGAUUUGAAGGCGCUUUGUGAAAUCCCUCGGCUCAACCGAGGAACGGCUUGGCGAACCACAAAUCUUGAGGAUGGUAGAGGUGGUCGGAACAAUAGGUGGAGCGGUGAAAUGCGUAGAUAUCUAUUGGAACACCAAAGGGAAGACAGGCCACUGGCCAGUCCGACGCGAGGCACAAAA
rnacentral:rRNA from 1 species